UAGGGAAUCUUCCACAAUGGACGCAAGUCUGAUGGAGCAACGCCGCGUGAGUGAAGAAGGUUUUCGGAUCGUAAAGCUCUGUUGUUGGUGAAGAAGGAUAGAGGUAGUAACUGGCCUUUAUUGGACGGUAAUCAACCAGAAAGUCACGGCUAACUACGUGCCAGCAGCCGCGGUAAUACGUAGGUGGCAAGCGUUGUCCGGAUUUAUUGGGCGUAAAGCGAGCGCAGGCGGAAGAAUAAGUCUGAUGUGAAAGCCCUCGGCUUAACCGAGGAACUGCAUCGGAAACUGUUUUUCUUGAGUGCAGAAGAGGAGAGUGGAAUUCCAUGUGUAGCGGUGGAAUGCGUAGAUAUAUGGAAGAACACCAGUGGCGAAGGCGACUCUCUGGUCUGCAACUGACGCUGAGGCUCGAAAGCAUGGGUAGCGAACAGG
rnacentral:rRNA from 1 species